GAUUCCAUGCCGAACUCAGAAGUGAAACACAAUAGCGCCGAUGGUAGUGUGGGGCUUCCCCAUGUGAGAGUAGGACAUCGCCAGGC
rnacentral:rRNA from 1 species